CUGACUGAGCCACCCAGGCUCCCCCAAUACUGAGUUUUAAGAAAAGCUUGACUUAUUUUGAAGGAUGCUGUAUUUUACUCAUUUAUUUCUUUUUCUUCCUGCUUUAUCUUUUGCUUUGACAACUAGGAAGCUCAAAUUGUUGGUCCGACUAGCACAACUAGGACAUUAAGGACUACAAAUUACUGCACCACCUUCUCUCCCAUGCUGGUCUUUUAUUUAGAUAUGUUUCUGAGUUCUGAAUUUUUGUUUUUAUUUCUCUUUUAGUAUUGUGAUAUGGGUUUUAAAGUCACCUUGAAUCCUAGUGCUAACUUUGCCCUGGGGAAUCAGCUAGCCCAGGAACUUCCAGGGAUGACUUUUAGAAGAGCAUUUUUGAUAUAGGAAGUUGGGGCACAUUUGCUUAUGAGGUCAAACUUUACAGAAAAGCAUCAAUUUCUUGGGUGUUCUCGUGUGCAUAUUUUAUUAAAGAACAGGCUUGGAAGAUAGGAUGUUUAUGGGAAGUAAAGAGAAAUAUGACAGCCAAUUUAAUAAGGAACAAAAAUAAAUUAUAGAGAGUCCUUUCAGGACUCACAAAAGGCUUUUGCGUUCUACUGUUCUAGAGGACAUACUUCAUGUCUCGUUUAUGUAUUGCUUCACUAAUGGGUGGGGAGAUAAAGUACCUUGACUGGACUGUUGAUAUCUCUAUAAAGAUAAUAUUCAUGAGUGAAGCAAAUCGGAUUUGCCCAUUUCUCAGAAUGUAGAAUGUUACAGAUAGAGCAAUAUUAGAUCAUAGACCAUGACCUGGUCUCCAAGGCAACAGCAUUCAUUACCUCAUUCUUUUCCUAAGGUACCCAAUUUAACUGCCCUGUCCCUUUGAUCACACCUCCCCCUCAUUAAACACUUACCAGAUCCUUUUCUGUUGCUAUGUAGGCAGUAUAAUAGCUUUCACAGCUGCUUGCUGAAUGAAAUGGGGAAACACACACACACACAGUUUGGGAGUGUGUGUGGGGAGAGAAAUUUCCACAGUGUUUCGGGAUCAAGGGAUGCUCGUGGCAGACUCCGUUCUGUUCCAGGCAUGCAGUAGGAACUCAUCCUGGCUUACCUAGGUCAGUUCCUCUCUUAUGGACUGUGCAGUGUCCUCAGCCUCUUGAUCACUUGGAUACUUCUAGUAACACUGAAAGGAAGCUCUGCAAAUGGGAUUGUAUUGGGAAUGGGAAAUUGUCAGGUGACAAGGACCAGGAAAAAAUUCCCAUUUCCACUCAGAGCAAAAUGUCACCUUAUUCUGUUUCAGUAAAGAAUAAAGGAAUUUGGACAAAAUGUCAGUUUUCCUCUGAACUAAUUUGGGAAUUAUAAUUACAUGCACAGUGUCAGUUGAGUGCAUGAAUAUUCAUAAUUAAAAAUGAAAUUGUCAUUUUUUCAGAUUGUGAAAAUGAACAGAAAUCCCCAGGGCUGUCCAGGGGCAGAAGAGCUGUUCAUUUUAAGAAAAAUUCUUUAAGAUAUGGAAGCAAAAUAACCCCACACAAAUUACCUAUCAUCUAUCUAUCUAUCUAUCUAUCUAUCUACUAUAUAGAGAGAAUAUUGCGAUGGAUGCCAGCUGAGGGUUAGGGAAACACUGUUAGACCAGUAGUGUUGCCUCUGCCCUCUCUGCAUGGUUCACUAUCAGAGGACACAGGAGGUGUUCACCUAGGGAGGAAAAAAGAUUGGAAGACAAGUCCUGGUUACUCACUCCCCAAUCCCACUCCACCACCCUGCUGCUUGCCAACCCUGUAGCCUACACACACAUUUUGUUUUCCAGAAAUGUUGAACCUCUACCUGUUCAAAGUUCAAUACAAGGGGACAGGCAUACAUUAAAUAGGUACAAUAGAGUAUGAUAUAUACACAGAAAGAGAACAGGGUGCUCUUGGGGGUUUAACUUUUAGUUAUGAGUUACUAUAUCCAUGUUAUAAAUGAGCAAACUGGGACCAGGAGAUGCUAGUUCUUGGUGACAUAUUAGAAAAUGUAUUCCCUUAGAAUCUUAAUGUGUAUUUCCUACUUGAAGAGUCUUUUCAGGAUAUUUCCUUAUAUUUAGCACCAAUAGAGACCCAGGCUGCUGCACAGGGGGCAAGGACAGGAUGUAGGUCUGAGGUCUGGGCUAGGUGGCCUUGGGUAAGGCUCUGAUUUCUGGAUCCUCAUUCUUGCUGGGACUAGAUGACCAUUAAAAGGAUUCUUCUAGCUCUAUAUUCUGUGGCUGUUAUUCCUCUCCCUCUUACGUUCCAGUUUUCCAGACAUUGUGAAGUUGCUGUAGUUCAUUUCUCUGGGCCCAACAGAGAAAUCACUUAGGGGAGAAAAUGAGUUGUGUCAGAAUCUUUAGCCUUAAGGAAAAAAAAAAGAAUCUUUAGCUUUAAAUAAUCUGCUCUGCUUUCUGCUCAAAUCCAGGGAAGGUAUUAUUUCUGCUUUUCCAUUGUAAGAUGGGGGAACUGCUAAGGUGACCUGUUCUAGAUUAUUGACCUUAAUUGAGAUACAUCUUCCUUGAUCGAGAAGGUAGAGAGAUUUAACAGCCUAGCAGCUCUGCAGUUUCUCCCAGAUGCCUUGGGAAGCAUGAAUUUCUUUUCUUUCUUUUGUAUUCCCUUGCUUCUUUAGAGUUAAUGGUUUCUUCCGGUAACAGUGCCAUGAUUGACUUUCCUGGACACCACCCACAUCCAUUAUCCCUGUUGCAGUGCCUUAAUUGAAAUGACAUCUUAGAAUUAUUUCUUUAAAAUUCAUUGUUUAAUUCAGUAAAUUUAGUAUUAAUUAAUGCCAACUGCCCUGAUGUUUUGGUCCCCCAUUUGUCACUCUCUCAGCGCAUGGAGCAGUACAGGAAAUAAUAGGUCUAUUUGAUUUUACAGGACUUAUUUUACUUUACAAUUCAGAUUUACUAGUGUAGCAGGAAUGGGAAUUCAAAAUGGUAUUUUGUAAUGAUCAUGCACUUGGAAAAGAGAAAGGGAAAGAAGAGAGGAGGAGGGGAAGAGGAGGAGGAAGAUGGGUUGCCAGAUGCCACUCAUCAGGGAGAGAAUUUUGAUGCUGGGAUCAAGACAAGGGUAUGGUGGCUGUCAGUCAGGGGCUCCUAGGGUGACCUCAGAUAGCCAUAUACUUCGAAAGCCUUGUUCCAUUUGUAUAACAUUCAAAAUGAGCUGUGUGUGUGUGUGUGUGUGUGUGUGUGUGUGUGCGUAUGCAAAUAUAGUUAACUCUAUUUUCCAGCCCUGUGGGAAAAUGGUAUGUGUAUUUAAUCAAAGAAUGUCAUAACAGAAUAAUCAUGCAUCUUGUUAAAACAAUACAAAUUUCAUAAGAAUUAGGCUAUGCUGGGAAUGUAAUUUUGAGUCUUAGUGGUUAAAUAUGGACUUAUGUUGGGUUCUCCCAGACGACUCUGAGUUUAGGAUUCAAUAGCAAGUAGCUUGCUUGAGAGGUGAUCAAAAGAAGCACCCAAAGGCGAGGCAUAAGAGGGAAGACAGCUCAAAGCGUGCAUGAUUUGUGCUCAGUUGCCACGCAGGCAACUGGGGCUCAGCCUUGCUGGAAAGCUCGGGAGAAUGGUGCAGAGGGCAUCUCUGGGGGGUAAGGAAACAGUAUUCUCUAGACUCCAUCUGUUCCCUGAGGGCUGUUUCCAGGGGUACUAACCCCUGGUACUUCUAGCCUGCCUGGUACCUGUGGGCGAAAAGAAAGCCCCCGGGCAGAGAGGAACAGGUACUUGCUUUAGGGUGCAAAAGUUUUGAACUGAAGAAUGAGUGCCAAAGGAAUAGAGAGGCAGCACUAUUAGUGUCUUUUGUGUUGAAUAAUUCAUGUGUAGUCAGGCUCAAAUGUUGUCUGAGGUAAGAAUCGGAGGCUUUCAGAUCCCGGGACAGGCUACUUGGGGGUCAAGAUUAUCAUGAGGGGUACCAGUACGCAUUAAAAUACUUCUCAGCCUGGUACAGUUUAUCUAUGUGGUCAGUGUUCUGCCCAGCUCCCCUUUACUGGCUCAGUACAGCCGUAUCUGGCUGCCAUGUUGGCUGGUAAUAACUUAUAGCUGUUCCCCUUCUCCAGAAGAGUGCCCUUAGCUGAUGAGAUUCACCUGUCCAAGGAGGUUAUACCCCGUGAGGGUACCUCCCAGCCCAUGACUCAGAGUCCUGACUUAGUCCUGUAUAUCAUCCAAGUGGAUUGCUUAUUCUAUCUACAACAUAAAUCAUCCAUUUAUACCCUAAGUUGUAUUGAUGCCCUGUCUGUGCCUCUUGGCUUCAUACACCACAGUGUUUGGCUACUCUAUGAAAAUGUCUCUUUAUUACGCUAUAAUAGUAGGUUCAUAAUCCUUAAGAAGACUACCAGACACCUAGCAGAGUAGGUGGGUAGAUGGAAUUCAUGUGUCUGUAUUUGGACCCAGAGUAGGUGAUAUUAAUACAGGACAGAAGGCAGUGAACAUCGUUUUACAUGAGGAAAAUCUUAUCAUCCCAUUUUAAAGAUAAGGAAACCGAAGCCUGGUUAUUUCACUAACUUGCACAAGCUCCCACAACUUGC